rnacentral:rRNA from 1 species
AUUGAACGCUGGCGGUAUGCCUUACACAUGCAAGUCGAACGGUAGAGGGGCAACCCUUGAGAGUGGCGAACGGGUGAGUAAUACAUCGGAACGUGCCCAGUCGUGGGGGAUAACGUAGCGAAAGCUACGCUAAUACCGCAUACGACCUGAGGGUGAAAGCGGGGGAUCGCAAGACCUCGCGCGAUUGGAGCGGCCGAUGGCAGAUUAGGUAGUUGGUGGGGUAAAGGCCUACCAAGCCUGCGAUCUGUAGCUGGUCUGAGAGGACGACCAGCCACACUGGGACUGAGACACGGCCCAGACUCCUACGGGAGGCAGCAGUGGGGAAUUUUGGACAAUGGGCGCAAGCCUGAUCCAGCCAUACCGCGUGCGGGAAGAAGGCCUUCGGGUUGUAAACCGCUUUUGUCAGGGAAGAAAUCUUCUGGGCUAAUACCUCGGGAGGAUGACGGUACCUGAAGAAUAAGCACCGGCUAACUACGUGCCAGCCGCCGCCGUAACAC